rnacentral:rRNA from 1 species
UCGAACGGAAGUUAGAGCUUCGGUUUAACUUUAGCGGCGGACGGGUGAGUAACGCGUGAGGAACCUGCCUUUCAGAGGGGGACAACAGUUGGAAACGACUGCUAAUACCGCAUAACGUAUCUUUGCGGCAUCGUAGAGAUACCAAAGAUUUAUCGCUGAGAGAUGAGCUCGCGUCCAAUUAGCUAGAUGGCGGGGUAAAGGCCCACCAUGGCGACGAUUGGUAGCCGGACUGAGAGGUUGAACGGCCACAUUGGGACUGAGACACGGCCCAGACUCC